rnacentral:rRNA from 1 species
AUUGAACGCUGGCGGCAGGCCUAACACAUGCAAGUCGAGCGGAGCGGCAGACGGGGAAGUGAUGCCUAGGAAUCGGCCUGGGAGUGGGGGAGAACGUCCGGAAACGGGCGCUAAUACCGCAUACUAUCAGAUGAGCCUAGGUCGGAUUAGCUAGUUGGUGGGGUAAAGGCCUACCAAGGCGACGAUCCGUAACUGGUCUGAGAGGAUGAUCAGUCACACUGGGACUGAGACACGGCCCAGACUCCUACGGGAGGCAGCAGUGGGGAAUUUUGGACAAUGGGCGAAAGCCUGAUCCAGCCAUGCCGCGUGUGUGAAGAAGGCCUUCGGAUUGUAAAGCACUUUAAGUAGGGAAGCGUUACCAACAGAAUAAGCACCGGCUAACUUCGUGCCAGCCGCCGCGGUAAUUC